GCUCCCCAUGUUGCAAUGCGUCAAUGCAUCUGGCUGUUAACCAGAAGGCUGGUGGUUCGAGCCCACCCAGGAACA